CGCAAGCGACGUGUGUGUCGUCAGCGCUCCUGUCUGCCAGCCGAGCCGUAGAACAAGAUGGCGGACUCCUUAGCAACGGCUCAGGGAGAGGAGAUCGAACCGGAGAAAGAAGGCAAGGAGAGACGGAUGGAGGGAGAUAGUGAGAACCGGGGAUCGAAGGAGACCUCCGAGGUGACGGAAACGCUGGGGUUUUACGACAAGAAGAAAGUCCAAAAGGACAAGAAACGGAGUUUGUCUGGUGAGUACUGAACCAGAACCUCAGCUUGAGGAGAGGAGAGCCCAGGUACUGGUCCAGGUGAGUACUGAACCAGAACCUCAGCUUGAGGAGAGGAGAGCCCAGGUACUGGUCCAGGUGAGUACUGAACCAGAACCUCAGCUUGAGGAGAGGUAGUAGUAGUAGCAGCUAGCUAACAGUAGUAGUAGUAGUAGUAGUAGUAGUAGUAGUAUAGUAGUAGUAGUAGUAGUAGUAGUAGUAGUAGCAGCUAGCUAACAGUAGUAGUAGUAGCAGCUAGCUAACAGUAGUAGUAGUAGCAGCUAGCUAACAGUAGUAGUAGUAGCAGCUAGCUAACAGUAGUAGUAGUAGCAGCUAGCUAACAGUAGUAGUAGUAGUAAUAGCAGCUAGCUAACAGUAGUAGUAGUAGUAAUAGCAGCUAGCUAACAGUUGUAGUAGUAGUAGUAG
rnacentral:lncRNA from 1 species